GGAUGCGAUCAUACCAGCACUAAAGCACCGGAUCCCAUCAGAACUUCGAAGUUAAGCAUGCUUGGGCGAGUGUAGUACUAGGAUGGGUGACCUCCUGGGAAGUCCUCGUGUUGCAUUCC
rnacentral:rRNA from 2 species